UACGUAGGGUGCGAGCGUUGUCCGGAAUUACUGGGCGUAAAGAGCUUGUAGGUGGUUUGUCGCGUUGUUCGUGAAAUCUCACGGCUUAACUGUGAGCGUGCGGGCGAUACGGGCAGACUAGAGUACUGCAGGGGAGACUGGAAUUCCUGGUGUAGCGGUGGAAUGCGCAGAUAUCAGGAGGAACACCGGUGGCGAAGGCGGGUCUCUGGGCAGUAACUGACGCUGAGGAGCGAAAGCAUGGGUAGCGAACAGG
rnacentral:rRNA from 1 species